GACGAACGCUGGCGGCGUGCUUAACACAUGCAAGUCGAACGGAAAGGCCCCUUUGUGGGUACUCGAGUGGCAGACGGGUGCGUAACACGUACGUAACCUGCCCUUGCCUACGGGAUAACUUCAGGAAACUGGGGCCAAUACCGGUAAGGAAUCAUUUUUGCAUGGGGGGGGUUGGAAAGCUUCGGCGGUUUUGGAUGGCCUUGCGGGAUAUCGGCUUGUUGGUUGGGUGGUGGCUUACCAAGGCGUCGGCGGGUAGCCGGCCUGAGUGGGCGACCGGCCACAUUGAGACUGAGAUGCGGCCCAGGUUCCUACGGGUGGCAACAGUGGGGAAUCUUGCAGGAGGGGCGGCGGCCUGAUGCAGCAACGCCGCGUGCGGGAUGACGGCCUUCGGGUUGAAAACCGCUUUCGGCAGGGGCGGAGCUUGUGGUGACGGUACCUGCAGAAGAAGCACCGGCUAACUACGUG
rnacentral:rRNA from 1 species